rnacentral:misc_RNA from 1 species
AAGUCGUAACAAGGUUUCCGUAGGUGAACCUGCGGAAGGAUCAUUACCGAGUUCAUGCCCUCACGGGUAGAUCUCCCACCCUCUGUAUACCAUACCUUUGUUGCUUUGGCGGGCCCGUCCUCGGACCACCGGCUCAGGCUGGUCAGCGCCCGCCAGGGGACCUAAAACUCUGUUUGUUCAUAUUGUCUGAGUACUAUAUAAUAGUUAAAACUUUCAACAACGGAUCUCUUGGUUCUG